GAAAUGCGAUAAGUAGUGUGAAUUGCAGAAUUCAGUGAAUCAUCGAAUCUUUGAACGCACAUUGCGCUCUCUGGUAUUCCGGAGAGCAUGCCUGUUUCAGAAUUGGUAAAUCUCUUCUUGCUUUCUAUGGAUUAACAUUCUUGAAAGCGAGGUUUUGGAUGCUUUUGCUGCUAAAUGUAGCAAAUCAUUUAUAAUUUAGAGUGUGCAACAAUCUUUCUACUUAAGAGUGUAAGCCAAUAAAGUGCAACAGACAUUGAUCUUAACACUUUGUGCUUGUCUUGAAUAUGGAAGUUUGGAGCAUGCAACCAACUAAACACAAGGUGCUCCUUCAGUUAGGAUGGGCAACUUGAAUCUCAAUCUGAAAUCAGGCAAGAAAACCCGCUGAACUUAA
rnacentral:misc_RNA from 1 species